CUACGGGCCGCUCCAGUGAGGAAUAUUGCACAAUGGGGGGAACCCUGAUGCAGCAACGCCGCGUGGAGGAUGACGCAUUUCGGUGCGUAAACUCCUUUUAUAUGUCAAGAAAAUGACGGUAGCAUAUGAAUAAGCACCGGCUAACUCCGUGCCAGCAGCCGCGGUAAUACGGAGGGUGCAAGCGUUACUCGGAAUCACUGGGCGUAAAGGACGCGUAGGCGGGUUGGAAAGUCAGGUGUGAAAUCCUACAGCUUAACUGUAGAACUGCACUUGAAACUUCUAAUCCAGAGUAUGGGAGGGGGAGAUGGAAUUAGUGGUGUAGGGGUAAAAUCCGUAGAUAUCACUAGGAAUACCUAAAGCGAAGGCGAUCUCCUGGAACAUUACUGACGCUAAGGCGUGAAAGCGUGGGGAGCAAACAGGAUUAGAUACCCCCGUAGUC
rnacentral:rRNA from 1 species